GAUGAACGCUAGCGGCAGGCUUAAUACAUGCAAGUCGAGGGGCAGCAUGAUUGUAGCAAUACAAUUGAUGGCGACCGGCAAACGGGUGCGGAACACGUACACAACCUCCCAAUAAGUGGGGAAUAGCCCAGAGAAAUUUGGAUUAAUACCCCGUAACAUAACGAUGUGGCAUCACAUUGUUAUUAUAGAUUUUUCGCUUAUUGAUGGGUGUGCGGCUGAUUAGAUAGUUGGCGGGGUAACGGCCCACCAAGUCUACGAUCAGUAGCUGAUGUGAGAGCAUGAUACACCACACGGGCACUGAGACACGGGCCCUACUCCUACGGGAGGCAGCAGUAAGGAAUAUUGUACAAUGGACGCAAGUCUGAUCCAGCCAUGCCGCGUGAAGGAUUAAGGUCCUCUGGAUUGUAAACUUCUUUUAUAAGGGACGAAAAAAGGCUUUUCUAAGUCGUCUGACGGUACCUUAUGAAUAAGCACCGGCUAACUCCGUGCCAGCCGCCGCAGUAACAC
rnacentral:rRNA from 1 species